ACAGUACAAACUGAGCAGGCGAUGCUUUUCGGAAUCGAAAAUAUUUAUCCGAAGGCAUGGGGCCGGGCCGCAGGAAGCGGCAGCGGAUAUGGAUUUAAACGUAAUUGCAAAGAACCUGCAUUCACGGAAUAUGAGGUGAAGCAGAAUGUGACUUUGCUUUCGGACAUAUCUGCGGGACAGUG
ncrna:unclassified sequences NiCo riboswitch